rnacentral:sRNA from 2 species
ACAAAAUUCAGGCCGAAGCUUCUAAUAGAGGCAUGGGGGAACCUAUUAUUUGGGGUGAAGCCAUAUUCAUGGCAGGGUCCUUACUCUUUGAUCCGAACCCGUCAGCUAACCUCAUAGGCCGCAAAAAGAGAGGAUGU